GACAGAGGGCGCAAACGUUGCUCGGAAUCACUGGGCGUAAAGGGCGUGUAGGCGGGUAGGAAAGUCAGAUGUGAAAUCCCUGGGCUCAACCCAGGAACUGCAUUUGAAACUCCCUUUCUUGAGUGUCGGAGAGGAAAGUGGAAUUCCUGGUGUAGAGGUGAAAUUCGUAGAUAUCAGGAGGAACACCGGUGGCGAAGGCGGCUUUCUGGACGACAACUGACGCUGAGACGCGAAAGCGUGGGGAGCAAACAGG
rnacentral:rRNA from 1 species